UCAAGUAGUUCAGAAUGCAUGGUGGUCUGCAGGCUGUACUACCACCAGUAUUGCACCUCCUCAUCCCCAUUCACCCAGAGGCCUUACAGAGGGAGCUCUUCACAAGCACACAGCCUAUGAUUGUCCUUGGCUCUGAUACUGAAGUUGGGACUGAGGACGUUACUUGGGAAAUCCCUCCCCCAUACAUCCUCACAAGGUGACAGAAGAAUUAUCUGCAUUUUCUACAUUAUACACUGCCUUCUCCUGACAUUGGAUGGCUUAUGAACCUCCUCCAGCUAAGGCAUCUGAAAGGUGUUUCUCAUUCUGAUGAGUAUUUGAUACUGCAAACUACCAUUUCUGCAGGCAGACAGUUGUCUGUUAUGAUGAGCACUGAAUUUCAGGUCCUUUCUCUGAGCCAGAAGAUGGAACUGUUGGAUUGAACAAGCCAGUAGACUGGGCUAAAACAGAGAAAGCUUGCCAAAGAUUUCACCAUAGAAAUGUCGUUGUUCUCCAGAAUUGUUAAAGCACUCUAACAGAAGGGAACGAGUACAGUGUCAGUCUUCCAUAUUUCUAGUGGAAGUGGGAGAAUUACCAGGGGAAAGUGGGAGCAGUCUGUACAAUACAUUUCCUUCCCUUCCUCCAUAUGGAGCCAAUAAUCUAUCUACCCAUAAGGCCAUUCCCACCCCUUAAUCUUCCUAUAAUAUUAUCACAUUUUAUUUUCCCUUUGGAUUACUCCUAUCUUGAGUGCUUUGACUAUGAGGUAGAUAAAUAUUAUUUCAUCCAUCUGUAGCAUGGAUGAAAUGAAUACAUGUAGGAGUUGUGGGAGUCACUAAUCCAACCCAAGGGUAUUGACUCCCAGUUCCCUGCUCUAAACGUUAGCACACACUCCCUUUCAUAAAUGACAUUAAUCAAAAUGGAAACUUGUAGCUAUUGAAAGCCUAGCUUUACCAAUUCUCGGACCAGCAUUUUGAUUAUAUGGAAUCAACACACUUCA